CCAGGUGUGUCCCAGGUGUGUUUUUGAUGUCCCCAGGUGUCCCCAGGUGUGUUUUGGGUGUCCCCAGGUGUGUCCCAGGUGUGUUUUUGAUGUCCCCAGGUGUCCCCAGGUGUCCCCAGGUGUCCCCAGGUGUCCCCAGGUGUGUCCAGGUGUCCCCAGGUGUGUUUUUGAUGUCCCCAGGUGUGUCCAGGUGUGGUUUUGGCUCACCUGGCUGGCCUUUGUCCCCACGCUGGCCGCGAUCACCUCGCAGGCGGCCCCAGGUGUGUCUGUGUGUGUCCCCAGGUGUCCCCAGGUGUGUCUGUGUGUAUCUCAGGUGUCCCCAGGUGUCCCCAGGUGUCCCCAGGUGUGUACCAGGUGUGUUUUUGAUGUCCCCAGGUGUGUCCAGGUGUGUUUUUGGCUCACCUGGCUGGCCUUUGUCCCCACGCUGGCCGCGAUCACCUCGCAGGCGGCCCCAGGUGUG
rnacentral:lncRNA from 1 species